rnacentral:tRNA from 1 species
GGAGAAGUACCCAAGCGGUUGAAGGGGUUAGUUUCGAAAACUAAUAGUGGGGCUUUGCUCCAGCCGGGGUUCGAAUCCCCGCUUCUCCGCCA